rnacentral:rRNA from 1 species
GACGAACGCUGGCGGCGUGCUUAACACAUGCAAGUCGAACGGAAAGGCCCUGCUUUUGUGGGGUGCUCGAGUGGCGAACGGGUGAGUAACACGUGAGUAACCUGCCCUUGACUUUGGGAUAACUUCAGGAAACUGGGGCUAAUACCGGAUAGGAGCUCCUGCUGCAUGGUGGGGGUUGGAAAGUUUCGGCGGUUGGGGAUGGACUCGCGGCUUAUCAGCUUGUUGGUGGGGUAGUGGCUUACCAAGGCUUUGACGGGUAGCCGGCCUGAGAGGGUGACCGGCCACAUUGGGACUGAGAUACGGCCCAGACUCUUACGGGAGGCAGCAGUGGGGAAUAUUGCACAAUGGGCGGAAGCCUGAUGCAGCAACGCCGCGUGCGGGAUGACGGCCUUCGGGUUGUAAACCGCUUUCGCCUGUGACGAAGCGUGAGUGACGGUAAUGGGUAAAGAAGCACCAGCUAACUACGUG